rnacentral:lncRNA from 1 species
CUAAUCGCUCUUGUAACAUUCUCCCUGUCAUCCCUAUGUACUUGCUUUCAAUUCCGUCAUCCUUGUUAUAGACUAGAAUGCUAUAAACUCCUGAUUUGCAGUUAUCCUCAAUUCUAUCUUUGCUGCUACUUAGGGCCUUGAACACUGUGGGGUCCUUUUUUAUGGCCAUAUUAUUAUUAGCCAGCUCUAUGGCUUUCUUUGCAAAGGAGAAGGUACCACCCUCUCCUCUGCCCAGAUCCGUGACCCCUGCCCCGUCAUCUUUCUUUUUAUUUAACUUAAACGUAAAAGUAAAUUCAAUGUUCUCCAACCAUUUAGUAACGUAUUCCAAACAGGGUAGACAGUGCUCCAUAUCAAAUCCAAAGAACUUUAUUAAAAC